ACCAUGCUGCGGGAGGAAAGUCCGGGCAACACGAGCCACCAUACUUCCUAACGGGAAGGCGGCAGGAAGGCAAGCGUCCUGCCGACAGCAAGUGCCGCAGAAAACAAACCGCCCCGCAAGGGGUAAGGGUGAAAACGCGAGGCAAGAGCUCACGACAGCCGACAGCGAUGCCGGCUGAUGGCAAACCUUAUGGGUUGAAAGACCAAAUAUACCGACAGUCAAGGGCUGGCUCGCCCGUUGUCGGGGGGUAGGUUGAUAGAGGCCGUCGGCAACGGCGGCAGUAGAUUGAUGAUAGAGGCCGCAGUGAACCCUGCGGAACAGAACCCGGCUUAUGCGGCUGCC
rnacentral:RNase_P_RNA from 1 species